rnacentral:lncRNA from 1 species
CUCACAUCCAUCAGGGCCCUCGGCCGGCCUCCACCCCCUGGCCUCAGAAGGCCUCCACCACCCGGCCUCAGAAGGCCUCCACCACCCCUCCUCAGAAGGCCUCCACCACCCGGCCUCAGAAGGCCUCCACCACCUGGCCUCCACCACCCGGCCUCAGAAGGCCUCCACCACCCCUCCUCAGAAGGCCUCCACCACCCGGCCUCAGAAGGCCUCCACCACCUGGCCUCCACCACCCGGCCUCAGAAGGCCUCCACCACCCCGCCUCAGAAGGCCUCCACCACCCGGCCUCAGAAGGCCUCCACCACCUGGCCUCAGAAGGCCUCCACCACCCGGCCUCAGAAGGCCUCCACCACCCCUCCUCAGAAGGCCUCCACCACCUGGCCUCAGAAGGCCUCCACCACCCCUCCUCAGAAGGCCUCCACCACCCCUCCUCAGAAGGCCUCCACCACCCCUCCUCAGAAGGCCUCCACCACCUGGCCUCAGAAGGCCUCCACCCCCUGGCCUCAGAAGGCCUCCACCCCCUGGCCUCAGAAGGCCUCCACCACCCCUCCUCAGAAGGCCUCCACCACCUGGCCUCAGAAGGCCUCCACCACCUGGCCUCAGAAGGCCUCCACCACCCGGCCUCAGAAGGCCUCCACCACCUGGCCUCCACCACCUGGCCUCAGAAGGCCUCCACCACCUGGCCUCCACCACCCGGCCUCAGAAAGCCUCCACCACCCCUCCUCAGAAGGCCUCCACCACCCCUCCUCAGAAGGCCUCCACCACCCCUCCUCAGAAGGCCUCCACCACCUGGCCUCAGAAGGCCUCCACCACCUGGCCUCAGAAGGCCUCCUCCACCCGGCCUCAGAAGGCCUCCACCACCUGGCCUCAGAAGGCCUCCACCACCUGGCCUCAGAAGGCCUCCACCACCCGGCCUCAGAAGGCCUCCACCACCCCUCCUCAGAAGGCCUCCACCACCCCUCCUCAGAAGGCCUCCACCACCCGGCCUCAGAAGGCCUCCACCACCCCUCCUCAGAAGGCCUCCACCACCCCUCCUCAGAAGGCCUCCACCACCCCUCCUCAGAAGGCCUCCACCACCCCUCCUCAGAAGGCCUCCACCACCUGGCCUCAGAAGGCCUCCACCACCUGGCCUCAGAAGGCCUCCACCACCUGGUCUCCACCACCCGGCCUCAGAAGGCCUCCACCACCUGGCCUCCACCACCUGGCCUCAGAAGGCCUCCACCACCUGGCCUCAGAAGGCCUCCACCACCCGGCCUCCACCCUUUUAAAUGGAGUCAACGUGAAUACCUUCAGAUGAGCACCAUCACCUUCUUCACCAGUUGGACGUCCUGCUCAGUGGGUCGCACCGAGGACCUUCCAGCUGUUGAGUCACACCCCAAACGCUAG